UACGUAGGCAGCGAGCGUUGUUCGGAGUUACUGGGCGUAAAGGGCUCGUAGGUGGUCAACUAAGUCGGACGUGAAAUCCCUCGGCUUAACCGGGGAACUGCGUCCGAUACUGGAUGACUUGAGUUCGGGAGAGGGAUGCGGAAUUCCAGGUGUAGCGGUGAAAUGCGUAGAUAUCUGGAGGAACACCGGUGGCGAAGGCGGCAUCCUGGACCGACACUGACGCUGAGGAGCGAAAGCCAGGGGAGCAAACGGG
rnacentral:rRNA from 1 species